ACGUAUAGCUCAGUUGGUUAGAGUACAUCGUUGACAUCGAUGGGGUCACUGGUUCGAAUCCAGUUACGUCCAUACCA
rnacentral:tRNA from 1 species